ensembl:snRNA U1 U1 spliceosomal RNA
AUACUUACCUGGCAGGGAUGGUACCAUGAUCACGAAGGUGGUUUUCCCAGGGCGAGUCUUACCCUUUGCGCUCCACAUGUAGGAAACUCGACUGCAUAAUUUGUGGUAGUGAGGGACUGUGUUCACACUCUCCCCUA